CAUCAGCACAGCCUCGAAAGGGGGAUGGUAGAGCAGGGAGAAAGCAGAAAAACCAGCUUUGAACUCUGCGUGCAAGGCCUCCUGAGCCUCAGGCCCCAGAUGCUGCAGGUUCUACAGCUCAGCAGACACAGGUGGAGUGAGCUUGCAGGGCUGGGACAGACCUGCUGAGGAGGUGUACCUCGGUCCCGCAUCCUGUCUCUAACAAUCCUGGAAAGUGGAAGCCACCCACCGGAUGCUGUUCUCUGCGCUUGCACUUGUGGGCUCCUGGAGAGCAGCCUGUGCUCUGAUCACGAGGCGGGCCUCUUUAUUUUUUUUCAACAUAAAUGACGAGAUUGUCCUAAAAUUCAUCCAGAAAAAGAAUGGCAAGAAUGAGGACAAUUCUGAAGAGAGAGGCUAGAGCCACCGACCUGAGUCAACAGACUAAUGAAGAGUGUGAUAGGCAGACAUCACAGGAAGAACACAAUGCAGGAGCAGUGACCCCAAACCAACAAACGCCCUCAGACAAUGAAGAAUAAACCAGGUCAACGGGACGGAGAGAAUCACACAAACAGCUCUUAGAAGACAGCUAACUGAUAUGCAAAAAAGUCAGCUCAGCCCUUCCUCACACCAAAAUAUAUCUACUGUGAAUUAGACAAGCAUAAAACAAGUCAUGACUACUCCAACCCCACAGCUUUUAGAAGAGGUGUCAACCCUACAGCUAGACCAGGACACUUACAACCACCUAUGACUGACGGACAGCAGUUAAUUUGUAUGUUUCACAAGAAUCAAUUCUGGUGUUUGUUUUCCCAAAUAGAGUUUCUCUUUGUAGCCCUGGCUGUCCUGGAACUCACUCUGUAGACCAGGCUGGCCUGGUCUCGGAGAUCUGUCUGCCUCUGUCUCCUGAGUGCUGGGAUUAAAGGCGUGUUGCCACCGAAACCUUCUCACAAGAAUCAGAACUGAAAUAACCUCGAACUUUUUCACAUCCCCCCUCAACCAAAGAAAAUAUAAAUACAGAUUAAUAAAAUGUAUUAGAAAAACGUUAAGCCCUUAGGAUUUAAAUGAUCUAUUUCAUGUAAACAGAACUGGAGCAGUCGGUAAAUGCAUGGCAAACGGUUUUCAUCUAUUAGGGCAACAGUAAUUUUUUUUACAUAUUAUCUGUCGCAUUUAGUGGACACAUGUCAAGGGGCAAUAGUGAGGGUCAGAGGACGGCUUAGGAGUCAGUUCUCUCUUCCUGCUAUGUUGGUCCCAGGGAACAGAACCCAGGGGUGGCAGCCACUGUGCCAUCUUACCCAUCCGACUCCAGCGGCACAGAGAACAGUAAGUGCACUGUUGGGGCUCUGACAACAGAGCUGCGGACUUCGCUCGCUCACUGGCUGAGAAAAGGCUGCCACAGGCUCCAAGAGCUGCGUGGUGCUUCUGAGAACCCAUUCUAGAAAUGUAAUAACCAUGCACGAGACAGUUCAUUCUGGGCUGAACUAUGACCUGUAACACAAAACUCAUUAUUCCUACGUGUACCUGGGUGUGUGCACGAAUCGGAGGACCGCCUACAGGAACCAGACCUUUCCUUCUACCUGGUGGGUCUCCCCAGGACAGAACUCAGGUCAAUGGUCUCCGGAGCAAGUACCUCCGUCUAUUGAGCCACAGUGCCAGCACCGUCCUGACCAUUUUCACGUAUGUACUUCAGGGUUCUAGAUUCUUCCAGAUGUGUGCCCUGAUGUGUGCGGAGUAGUUCCACUCUAAACUCUGUCAAGCACCUCCACACAGCUUUACAGCCCUUGUACCACUGAUGUUCCUGCCAACAGCACACAGCGUCCAGUCCUCCACCGUCAGCAGCACUGGUUUGUGUGUGAUCUCAGGGUAAUUUUCAUUAGCAUCACUAACGACUAGUGAUGCUGAGCUGGUGUAUGGGGGCCUAUGGAUCGCUUGUGUAUAUUUUGAGAAAUGUCAACUUGAGUCUUCUAUAUAUUUAAACUAAGUUGUUUUGCUGUUGCUUCAUGUG